rnacentral:misc_RNA from 1 species
GAUGAAGAACGCAGCGAAAUGCGAUAAGUAAUGUGAAUUGCAGAAUUCAGUGAAUCAUCGAGUUUUUGAACGCAUAUUGCGCCCUCUGGUAUUCCGGGGGGCAUGCCUGUUCGAGCGUCAUUAAAUAACCCUCAAGCAUAGCUUGGUGUUGGGCUUUUUUACGUCCUUGGCUGGGAUGGGCCUAAAAAUUAGUGGCGAUGGCUUUUUUACUUUCAAGCGUAGUAAAUCUCGUCUUGCUAAAGAGGAAAAAGAUUUUUUUUCUGCCAAAAAUUUUAACAUUUAAAGUUGACCUCGGAUCAGGUAGGAUUACCCGCUGAACUUAAGCAUAUCAAUAAGCGGAGGA